CCUACGGGUGGCUGCAGUGGGGAAUAUUGCACAAUGGGGGAAACCCUGAUGCAGCAACGCCGCGUGAGCGAAGAAGGCCUUCGGGUCGUAAAGCUCUGUCCUAAGGGAAGAAGCAUGACGGUAGCUUAGGAGGAAGCCCCGUCUAACUACGUGCCAGCAGCCGCGGUAAUACGCAGGGGGCGUGCGUUAUCCGGAAUCACUGGGCGUAAAGGGUGCGUAGGCGGCCAAUUAAGCCAGAGGUGAAAGGCUACGGCUCAACCGUAGCAAGCCUUUGGAACUGAAUGGUUUGAGUGCAGGAGAGGAGAGUGGAAUUCCUAGUGUAGCGGUGAAAUGCGUAGAUAUUAGGAGGAACACCAGUGGCGAAGGCGACUCUCUGGACUGUAACUGACGCUGAGGCACGAAAGCGUGGGGAGCAAACAGGAUUAGAUACCCGUGUAGUC
rnacentral:rRNA from 1 species